CAGCCCCUUCCUAUGGAGUGAAUGCGUGUUGGGGGAAGAGACAGAGAAGUACUUAUAACUCAUUGGAGGAUUGAGCACCUCCAGGCUUCAACUCCUAGCUGUUGCCUUGAGGAAACCGUUAUCUCUGUGUUUUCUUUCUGCAGACUUGAAGACGAAGGAGCUGCAAGGUGAGGACCUUAUCUCUAGACCCUGGCCUGCCUUCUCCACUGCUUGGUAAACUCAUUCCUUUAGCAUGUGGGCCCCUGUCUGAAUGUUCACACUAGUCUCUCUAAGUCCCCAAGGCUCAGGAUCUGUCAAUGGGCUGUGCUUGCUUUGUGUCUUCCCCAUAGUAUGGUCCCUAAACUGCAUGCCCCAGACAUUAAGAGGAAGACAGGAUUUAUCUUCACCACAUGAAUCUCAGCUCUGCAUUUGGGGGACAGUAGAUAGUGCUGGCUGAGGGGAGCUGGGCAAAAUGAACUAUAGACUACCAAACUUUCUCACCAGUUCAGAGGUCUGUGGAUAAGGGAGAAGUCUUGGAAGAGAAGAAAGAAGGAAAUGAAGCCUGGGCAAGGAGUUUCCUCAAAGAAUUAGCUGGCAGGAACUCUAGGUCUCUGAUCCCAGGAACCAGAGGCUGCCAAAUGCCUUUAAAUGUAGGAGUAAGCAGUUGAGGAACUGGCCUCUUCCAUAAUUAAGGGAUCUCUUUAGGCUCCUGCCUCUUAUCACUGAAGUGCAGUCAGCCAGAGCCACUGCCAGCUUCCUACAUUACAGAGAAUGAAGAGGGGAAAUCCAGUGAUUUCUCCAUACAACUAACAAGAAAAUCCCCUUCCCUAUGGAGGGGUCGGGUCGGGGGAGGAGACCUCCAACAGGGGUCCUCAGUGGAGGGAUCCAGGGUUUCUUUGUGUCCUCUCCAUCUGCUGUAGGAGGAACCAAGGCCACUUGCUCCCACCACCCCAUGACAGUCCAGCCCCACCCUCUCCACUUCCAUCUCUUUAAGCCCAUGGUCUUUGUGCUUGGUCCUCCCCAUGGCAUUAAGUGGAGCCUGGGCCCAUUGUUCAACUUUGCUGACAAGGCAAGUUCUGUCUUUCCUUCUCUAGUAUGUUCAAGUCCAUGGUGGUAUCAUCCCAUGUGCCUCAGUGACCCAGAAACAGCUGUUUUCAUUGGUGGAGAAGAAGCCCAACAACAGUCUUAUAAGGAUCCUUUCUGGACACUACAAACUGGUGCUGCUCCUACAGAUGAUGAUUUCUGAUUCCCAGUGGACCUGCCCCUUCUAAGCUCUGUGCCACUCUGCUUAUGGGCCACAUUGCCACAUAUUACUCGGACACCAUAUGUGUCUAUGUCUUCAGGGGUGCAAAGGAGGGUACACACCAUAGCAGCAUCUGCAUCCUGGACACUGUCACCUGGAAGUGGCUCCCUAUGGCUGCCAAGGAGAAGAUGCUGGCACUGGGCUACCACAGUGCAACCAUCUCUUCAUCUUUGGAGGGGCUUUCCCCAAGACCACAGCACUGGAGUCUGUGGCCUGCAACAACACACUCUAUAUCUUCAACUCGGAGUAUGAGAUUUGGUACCAGCCCAUUGUGGAGGAGGAAAAUCCCCUUCCUAGACUUGGGUGAGAAGCUUUUGAUUCAGCCCUUAAAGUCAUAGCAUAGGAGGCAUCCUUUGUUUCUGUCUCCUCAGUCCCUACAUCUGGGAGCAAGUGACUGCUUGAUUGUUCUUCGUGGUCUGGUCCCCAGGGCUGAGUUCAGCCCUAGUUUUAAAUAUCUCCAGUGAGAGUGUUCCCAGCUAUAUUUCCAUGGGAGAGAUGGAGUGCUCUCCAGCAGAAGUGUCAUGGUUGUGGGCAUGUGAAUUGUCUUGGCCCAAAAAGCUGUAGGUUAAUGGCUCCCCCAAAACAUGACCUUUGGGAAUGGAAAUUGGUUUGGAUAUCAGGAGGUUCUUGAGGUUGCCUGGCUUACUCACCACCUCUCUUCCCAGCCACUCAGCCACUCUGCUGAGAAACAAGCUCAUAUUUCAGGGGGGCAAAGGACAUCUGCCUACCUGAAUGAUAUGUGCAUCCUGGAUGUGGUUGAGAAUGGGACACUGCCUUUCCUGUCAGGCUUUACCAGAGGGUUAGGGCAGGGUAGGCAAUACAGGGCACCCUACCUUAGGAAGGUGCAUUCUGAUGGCUGGGACAAUGAGGCCGAAAGCCAUCGUGCUUAGGACAUGGGAAGAGGAGGUCUGGUUGUAAGAGGCCCUGACUGGGAAGUAGGAACGGGAUGCAACUGGUGUGAGGAAGGCCCUGAUGGGUGGAGAAGGAAUGGUCUGGCCCAGUGGAGGACAUAAGAAAUGUAAGGCACUUGCCAUGGCAGAAGUCUGGCUAACAGGGUAGACAAAUUACUGCUCUGAUGUGAUGGACAAAACCUGUGUCCCUCAAAUUCAGCACAGAGCUCUGUCUUGCAGUGGGGCUAGGAAAUGCUGCUAGGCUUGCUCCUCAUUUACAGUCUUUACUCCUUUUCCCCUGUGCAUCAGGUUACAUGGAGUAUACAACUGUUCCAUUUCUCCCAGGAUAGUCUUCUGCAGGCUGGUAAGAUCUUGCUGUAGGACCAAGUGCCAACUCUUUUUAUGGCAGGGAGUGGUGCCAAGUUGGAAAAGUUGCUUCCUCCAUACCAGUAGGGCUGCCAUCCAGCACAACUUCCCAUCCCUGGCAGCUGUACUGAAAAAGAGCUGGAGAAAGGAAGACACCCUGUACUCUGAAUGCUCAGGUCCUGAAGGGAAGCCUUGGCCACCUCAUUAGAACCUUCUAUCUGAGAUAUUCUGGUGUUUUAUAGGCACUGCUUAUACCUCACAGCAUCAACGGCACAGAAAAGGAAAUGACUUGUUUAGGGUGACCUAGAAAGGCAGUGGCAAACCUGAGACUAGAACUCACAAGUCCUGACUACUAUCUAUUGUCCAAACCACUCCCCCAUGCUUCUUCUAGGUAAGGCUGCACCCCUAGGAGAUGAAGGGACAGCGGGUUCCCCAAUAGAUUUUGCUCUAGUUUCCAAUUCUAGUUUCCAUGAUGCAACAGCCAUGUCUGACCAGAGGGUCCUGAUCAGUGGAGGCUGCAAUGCUAAAGAGGCCUUACACUUUUUACCUUGGUGAGUAACUCUCCAGCCCCGCUGCCGAAUUGCUGUUGGCUCUGGAAACUUUGGUCUCUCUGGCAUGUCUAGCAGCCUUGUGUUCAAUCAUUUGUGUUGUUCCUGGCAUAGAGGGGAUUGUACUGGUGGUGUCCUUUCUGUUGCAGACACUUUCACAUGGAACACAGUAACCCACCAUGACCUCUGCUUUGUGUCCCAAUCUGAACACAUGCUGCUCAAUCUGAUCUCCAUCCAUCUGCCUGAUGUUGAUAAGGAAAGAAAGGGCAAGCACAGCCUAUGCACACUGCUUGUGUUCCUUGGCUUAGACUGUGCUGGGACUUUCUAUAACAGCACCAGCAGGAUCCAGUUGGACCUAGGAGAAGAGGCAGCACUUUCUGAGGCCCAGCCUAGAACAGCAGGGGUUCUGUACCUGGGCAAAUAGAGGCAGUGAUGGCUAGAUUGUGGAUG